rnacentral:tRNA from 1 species
GCGGGUGUAGCUCAGGGGUAGAGCGUUACCUUGCCAAGGUAAAUGUCGUGAGUUCGAAUCUCAUCACCCGCUCCAUUUCGAAACCUCCCCAAAAAGCUGACUGAAAUGACCGCCUUGGCGGGCGUUCGCCGUGGCUUACCUGCG